rnacentral:misc_RNA from 1 species
AGCACUAUAAAUGACAAAGAGGGAUCAAAGCCCAAAUCAGUCUCCAAGAUUGUUAAAAUGAGCUAUGGAUCAAUUACAAAAGCCCACGCUUGAUGUGUCACGACCAGUCUUGAGAUUUAUUUUAUAUCUAGAGCUCUGAAGGUCCAAAUGAAGCAAACCUAGGCCCAAUUGAACUUUAAGAGCCACCUCUACAAUUGUUGUGAAGGGCUAGAAGUGAGAUAAUGCCAUUUUAAUUAUCAAAAAUGGCAAUGAAGACGUCACAAUGGGCUGGAUACUCUGUCAGAACUAGUUUUGAUUUUUAGCUCAUAACUUGGGCUGUAGACCUCAG